UCACCCCCUCCAUCUACAGCGAGUUCCCGGAUGAAACUCUGCGCAGCUCUGAGCUCCUGAACAUGAUCGUGGCCGUCAUCGACUCCACGCAGCUGCAGGAGCUCAUGUGCCACGUGAUGAUGGGCAACCUGGUGAUGUUCCGGAAGGACUCUGUGCUCAACAUCCUCAGUGAGUCUGUCGCCGCCCGCGUGGGGUGGGGGGGUCA